rnacentral:sRNA from 1 species
ACGUAGAGUACGUCCAAGCAAAAGAUUCAAGUUAGCGCGGCCGUUGUAUAUUGUUGGUACCUUUUGGUUACACAGUCACCCAGCUUCCCUUAUUUGAUAUUUGUUGCAUUUCUGAGCACACGCUCAUCACUUAAAUAAAGGUAAGAAUAUUAUGGCUACUGGUACCGUUAAAUGGUUCAACGAAGCAAAAGGUUUUGGUUUUAUUACUCCUGAAGACGGCAGCAAAGAUUUGUUCGCGCACUUCUCUGAAAUCGUUGGUAGCGGCUUCAAAACCUUAGCCGAAGGUCAGCAGGUAUCUUAUACCGCUACUGAAGGUGCUAAAGGUCCUCAAGCUUCACAAAUUGAAGCU